rnacentral:lncRNA from 1 species
AACAGAACAGAACAGAACAGAACCUAAAAUAACCUGCCACAAAUACAGUCCUUGAGCUUUUUGUGCAUACACGUGAGCAUUGUCUAAAACAUAUUUUCUUUGUAGCAGCUGGGCACUGCCACCACUGUUUCAUCUUGAUCCCCUCCUCCCAAAAAUUGAGGGGAAAUAAAGGCUUGCCUCAUGGAAAUGGACAAAUAAUUUACCCAAUUCCAUUUUCACUUUGAACCACAGUUGAUAUCAAUAUAGUUAAAAGUGAGAUGAAGGUAUGAGAACAGCAGUUUCAGGUUUUAUGUUGAAAUAGCUACACUGAACUCUUGAUCAAGACUUUUCUUUCAAUGAUGAUUUCUUCAAAUUCUUUAUAGUCACCAGAGGAGAACUUUAUUCUUAAAAUAGGUGAUACUAUAAAGCUAAGAAAAACUUCAUUAUUACUCCUAAAAUAUCUGGGGACAUUUCUGGGCAUGAGACUGGGGAGCUGAGACAGGGAUUGCCCCAUCAAGCAGUACACCAGCUGUUCCCUUGUUCUGAAACUUCUUCCUUCUUCAUUCCAAACUGCACUUGGUUUGGGCA